rnacentral:lncRNA from 1 species
AUGCAUAUGUCUGUAGCUUACAUCGAGUAUCGAGUCUAUGGACACAUUUGUAGGCAAGUUAGUGUUAUAAUCUCAAGACCUGGCUUCGUAUGAAGCCACAGGGCCUUCGUACGAAAUCAUUAGAUGUCUAUAUAUAGGGGUCUUGGGUUCUUAUGAAAGGUAACUUUUGGUGAGACGAAGCAAAACUCUGCCAAAAUUCUCUCGGGUCUGUAACUUUGCAAUUAUCAAUGAGAAGCGAUCUUAACGGUAUCUGUAUGGUUCUUAUAUCGAUAACUAGCAUGGAUUCCGCACAUUGCUUGUAGAUAACUGAACCGAUCGGAGCGUUUAUUGAAGGCAAUCACGGUCCUCACAGGCUAGAUAUGUGUGCUUGAUUAGGUGACUCCAAGAGUUCAUCUUAUGGUCAAAAAUCAGUGCAGUUACAGGUUGUGUGCU